UACGUAGGGUGCAAGCGUUAAUCGGAAUUACUGGGCGUAAAGCGUGCGCAGGCGGUUCUCCAAGUCCGUUGUGAAACUCCCCGGGCUUAACCUGGGAACUGCACUUGUGACUGCAAGGCUGGAGUACGGCAGAGGGGGAUGGAAUUCCGCGUGUAGCAGUGAAAUGCGUAGAUAUGCGGAGGAACACCGAUGGCGAAGGCAAUCCCCUGGGCCUGUACUGACGCUCAUGCACGAAAGCGUGGGAGCAAACAGG
rnacentral:rRNA from 1 species